rnacentral:miRNA from 1 species
GAAAAAAAAAAAGAGAGAGAGAGAGAGUAAAAGAAAAACACACUGGCCCACAGGUGGGGCGUAAAUAGCGAUAGUGGAGACAGGGUAGGAGCUUUUCAGCUCCGUUGUUGCAUGUACAUGCAUGCAAUACCAAAGAAUAACAGCAAAAGCAGUAACAAUAAGACGAUAAGAACACCACCCAUCCAUGUCUCUCUUUCUUUCUUUCUCUCUUUCUUUCUUUCUCUCUUUCUUUC